UGCCAUGUAUCGCCUCACCAAUGUGGAA
rnacentral:piRNA from 1 species